UACGUAGGGGGCUAGCGUUGUCCGGAAUCAUUGGGCGUAAAGAGCGCGUAGGCGGCCAGAUAAGUCCGGUGUGAAAGUCAAAGGCUCAACCUUUGAAUGCCGCUGGAAACUGUCUGGCUAGAGUCCGGGAGGGGCGAGUGGAAUUCCUGGUGUAGCGGUGAAAUGCGUAGAUAUACGGGAGGAACACCAGUGGCGAAGGGCGACUUCCUGGCCUGUUCUUGACGCUGAGGCGCGAAAGCUAGGGUAGCAAACGGG
rnacentral:rRNA from 1 species